UUGUGACGUCGAACAAGGACAGGGCCUACACAGAAUGGUUGUGCUCUGGGGAGUGUUGUAGAACAGGGG